UAAUCAACCUGACACUAGCCCUAGUAACCAACACCUUACUGGCCCUAUUACUAAUAACAAUUGCAUUGCUCCCACAGCGUAAUACUUAUAUAGAAAAAUCCAGCCCCUGUGAAUGCAGAUUUGACCCAAUAGCCUCCGCCUGCCUCCUCUUUUCCAUAAAAUUCUUCCUAGUAGCCAUCACAUUCCUCCUUUUCGACUCAGAGAUCACUCUACUACUACCCCUGCCAUGAGCCCUUCAAAUAACCAACCUGACACUAAUAAUCAGCGCAGCCCUUAUACAAUUACCACUUUAAUCCUAGGCUUGACAUGAAUGAGCCCAAAAAGGAUUAGACCGGGAUG
rnacentral:lncRNA from 1 species